UAAAGAGGAACUCAGUCUAAGAGCGCCACCACACGCGCAACGACUGGGUGACCAACAGCCUGUUGG
rnacentral:sRNA from 1 species